AGAGACCCCGGGGCAGAGACAGGGGCAAGAAGAAGGGGCCACCGAGACCCCAAGAGAGUCAGGGAGACAGACGCACCAAACGACCGACACAACCAGGGACAGCAGGGAGGAAAAGUUGCCUAUCUGUUGGGUCAGAUUUCUGAAGACUGAUGAGGCCCAUUUUCUGGCUGGAGUGAAAUGACAUGAUCUCAGCUCACUGAAACUUCUGCCUCCCAGGUUCAAGCAAUUCUCCUGCCUCAGCCUCGCGAGUAGCUGGGAUUACAGAUAUCCUUCGAGUUGGAUUUCGACUGGGUUCUGCCAGUGGGAUGUAUCCAUGCGAGAUUCUGGAACUAACAUCAGAGAGAGUCCAAGCUUCUAACUUUUAUCAGCGGCAGUGACAAUAGUCAAGCAGCAUUGAUGACAAACGGCAAGAGUUUAGAAAGUACCAGUGACGUGCCUGAUAGAAUCUCACCACAAGAUGGAAGCCAACUCGUCAGAAGCCUGGAAAGCCCACCCAGCGUGGGACCUCUGUGGGUCCAGGAUCUUGGAAUGGUAUCCCAUGGUUCAAUCUUCUGGAUUCAACCACAUAAAUUUACCCCACCCAUGUCGUGGACCCAAGCUUCCUACCAUGUAUACUUAGCUUAAAUGCAAGAUAGUACUAUUUUGUUCAUCUUGAUUGGAGUGAGAAAUGAAUAGGUCCAUGCACAUAUAUUUCUUUUACCACAACAAGAUGAUGAAGAAAUAAAUCCAUAAUAUCGAUACUUUUGUAUAAGUUGUGUUUACAGUUGCGGUAAGAAAUUUUAUAAUUGUUGAUUUGCUUUAUAUAAUUUCUGCUUGCUUUUUAUGAUAUUUAAAACAAAAUCUAAGCAACAAAUUUUAUGUCUGAUUAGAUUUACAGAAGCUGCUUAAGUGCUUAGGGAUAAUUUGUUCAUCAUAUUUGUAAGUCUCCCUUGUUAGGUGUUUGAAGUGUUUGAAUUGGCUAAAUUAAAUUUGUAAUUGUAGUUUGAAAUAUCUAAAGGAAUUUUCUUAAUUAAGUGUUUAAAUGAUGUUAAAAGUUUGUGGGAAUUUAAUCUAUCAAAUUUAUGAGUUAAUUGAAUAUGAAUCAAUGAACAAGUAAAUGUGAUCUUGCUUUUAUAUAAAAACUACUAAGUUCAUAAAUAAAAUACAAAGAUCCAUAAGUUGAGAGGAAAAGCAAAA
rnacentral:lncRNA from 1 species